GGAUUGUGGCUCAAUGGUAGAGCAUCAACCUAGCACAUGUGAGGCCCUGGGUUCGAUAUUCAGCACCA
rnacentral:tRNA from 1 species